rnacentral:lncRNA from 1 species
CGAGGGAAGGCUAGAGGCGCGCUUGUGGGGAAACGGCGCUGAGGCUUCUAGGGUUUCUUGCCUCUGAUCUUGUUUUGCGCUGCAUGGUGAUUGGGCUAGGGUUUAAUGGGUUAUUCGAUUUAGUAUGUAUUGGGGCUGGAGGGUUAGGCUAAGUGUAAUUGGGUUUGAGCCAUGUUGGGCCUACUGUUGGGUCUAGUGAGUUUUUGUAAUUUGGAC